rfam:Ciona savignyi cont_25630, whole genome shotgun sequence.
UCCUCGUUAGUAUAGUGGUGAGUAUCCCCGCCUGUCACGCGGGAGACCGGGGUUCGAUUCCGGGACAGGGAG